AAACGAUUGUGCGUAGAAUCUAAAGUUCAAUGUACAGUUCGUUCUAAGAAGACAACGGGAGUGUCGCGAUUUUUCUCUCAUUUUUCUGGCCAGUGCAGUGUUUCGGAAAGGAGAACGUAAUACGUCAAUUUGCACUAAACAAUUUGACGGAGAUUACGACGACAUUUAAACAGUGGUUAUUCGAGCGUUAUUACAUUAACUCGCAUCCUACUUAGGUGGAUUUUUCAACUUCGCGGGUCAUUAAACUUUUGUUACGAUUAAUUUACUACGAGUAUUCUCUGUUCUCGGAACGAAGCAAUUGCGAAAUACAUAAUUUCAAAAGCGGAUAUUCAGUUUGAUUUGUUUAAUAAUUUCAAAAAAUGUGUUUUUAGCGAACUGUAAACUUCACUACCCUUAUUUCUUUUAGCUUCAACUUUAACGUAAAAAGUGACAGCAACGUGUCUAUGCUUAACAUGACAAUUAAUGACAACGCGUGACAUGCUUAACAAGGAAAUUGGAAAAAGAACAUUCGCGAUAAAUACUACUGAAAUGCAAAACGAUACAAACAAAUUAACGUGGUAGUCGUCAACAAACUCGCCACAAUCAAGCCACUUGCAUAGCCGCGCACCAGGAUAUUAUGAUGCAAGCUGUAUGUCAACUUAAUCGGUGUUAAUAGAGUCACAUUUGCAUCGUAGUAAUGUAUACGCUCCGAACGAACGUUUAAACGUUAGAUUUUUAAGAAAAUUGAGAUUUGUGGUAAUUGGACUAUGAUAAAAGAUACUUAUCGAUCGAAAGAAAAACGCUGACCCAGAAUACAAGAUUGUGUAAAGUGUAUUUGUUAAUUUAUUUUUUUCAUAAUUUUGUGUAGUGUGAAUUUUCAUAAUUUUAGUGUUUUAUAUUGAUUUGUAUAACAUAAAUGACUUAUCUUCGUGACCACGUUAAUUAAAUACAAUGUUCGUAGACAGUGAAUAUUUAUUUAAGAAUAUAUACGGUGAAAGAUAAAUAUGCGUGAAUAUUUUAUGGAAUUGCUUUGUUUUCUGAAUAUAUAAAAACCUGGACGUGUUUAAUAUUUGUACGUUGCAAAUAUCCGCGUUUUAUGAUUGCAGUGCGUGCGUUAAUAGUUGCAGCCACGUGAUAAUUCAUAUUCGGAUCGUAAAAAUGAUAAUAACAGUGAAAGUAUUUUUCUAAUGUCUAAUUAUGUAUGUGAAAUGUAAAACAUAUAAUUACUUGAAUAUAUUAUCCAAAUGAUCUUUUUGCCUAUAA